CUGCCGCUUGCCCGCCCCUGCCUCGCCGCCCUCGUUCGUGUCCGGCCCGCUGCGUUGACCCGGCUAUCGACCGGGUGAGGACCGGAAUCGAUCGAGGAGAGGAAGAGGAAGCUCUCUUUGUAAGGAAUUGAAGGGAGCUUCACCGGAAACGAUGAAUCGAGGGCGGCCGGCGGUGGGGAAGAAGGUGGCGGCUGCGGCAGGAGCAGCGCCCGCCGGUCCGUCAGCAAGACGUGCACCGCGCCGCUCUGGUUUUUCCUUCUCUGUGGUAAUAUAGAAACAAAUUUUGACGUUUUUAUGCUGAGCGGUGGUGGUACGGAUUGGAAUCUAUGAACGCCGGGUGCGCAUUGGGGGCUUAGAGCAGAAGAAAGAGGCGUCCAUCUCUUUUUCAUGCGAUUUUCUCCCUCUGUUUACUCUGAGGGGAUUAGGACAGAUGUUAUGCUCUAUCCCUGUUUCGAGGUCUGACUAAUUGGCGGCCUCUAGCAGCCACAUGGAGCUAAUUAACAUUAGUCCUCACGCACUCCCUCAAGCCAGCAAUCACGAAAACGCUUGCGUCCAUCCGCAGAAGCAGGACAGUAUAUUUAUGUGCAACAACUGCAAGCGAAUCUGAUUAUGUACUAGUAGUGCUACAUCAAACUCCAGCUCGGGUGCCACCAGAUUCAAGCAAAUCUGCAAGCGGUGCAGGGUGUUCUACAUUGCCUUUCUCAAACCACUUAUCAGAGCAUCACCUUUUUCCAUUGGUAUCUGUUGUAGAAAGUACACAAGCGUAAGUUUUUCCUAGCUGUGAAGUAAAACAAAUAAGGCAAUUGAAAAGGAAGACAACUAUCUAAUUAGUAAGAUAACAAUUUGUUAAUGCUCUUAGGCAGAAACAUCUUUUCUUUGGUACACUUGAAUCCUGAGCAAUUACUGGUGGGCAAUUGCCCUGCUAAUUGCAAACAGGGCCAGUAAUGGUUCAUAAUGAAUUUGGCUUCUUAGAAAAUUCAGAUGAAGCAGAAGCAGUGUGUCCAAAGGUUGAAAAAUUAGUAUAGCAGAAGCGACAUGACACAUGUUUGACAACUUCAAACUUGUGGAUCCUUACAUAUAUAAUAUAAGAUUUAAUCACUAUCCUAACUUUUAAAGUUUUCUUGUGUUCCACUUUUCAUUAAUAUUAAUACAACAUUAAUGCUUAAGCUAGCAAUGACAUAAACUUCUGAUUUCUGCUAAACCAUAUUGUGUGUUAUCUGGUCGUGCUGUGCAGUGCUCAUAUUAGCAAAUAUUAGUGAUACUAUAUAGGGCAAUACAUUUCAUGUACACUAUCCAUAAAUAUUGUCUAAUUAAUUAUGCAGCAGUGCAGCCUUCACAUUAUCAUACAUGAAAAAUAUGUUAGGGCUCAGAGGGUACUGCAAUCCUCAUCGAAGUUACUAGAGAUAGGGUACCAAAAUCAGCACUAGCAGUUAAAUUGACAUGUAUAUAUCUCCUGUGAAUUGUAAUUAGACAGGAACCAAAUUUGUUAUAUCAAUUGAACUCAGUCUUAGGAAUAGAGAUAAUUCAACAAAUCAAGUUAAAAUAAACCAGUCUGCUUUUUAGGCAUUUAUAUUUUUUAUAGGUAUCACAAUAUGUAUGGGGAUAAUAAUCGUCCUCCAACAUAUUGAGAUUUUAAUAAGAUACUGAACUCAGCAUAUGUAUCAUAGUUACAUGCUUCUUUACAGGUAUGUUGUUGACCAAUGCAAAUUGUCAAUUUGCUAUGAUUGAUCUGCUCUUCUACUGAACAUAAGGCUUAUGGUGAUUAUUAUAUUCAUUCAAUCAAGAUAAAAAAUAAAUAAAUUUAGAGGAUAUUUUUUUCCCUUUCCAGCCUUCUUGAUAUUUACAAUUCAGCAUAGUCUACAUAAAUUCUGUUAUAUCUAAUACACUUCGUCAUAGUUACAAUGCAUUCAAGCUGCAAAUUUUCACUAGAGAUUAAUAAGCUUGACUCUUCUUGAACUUACAGACCUCACAAAGUCGUGUUGUGAGGAGGUAUGCAUCUGUAUCUUGAGUUUCCUGUUAAGAGUUCCUUAUAGUGUAUUAAAAUUCACAUCAGUUUUCCUGUUUCUUAUUCUCCAACUGUAGUACAUUUUGAUGCACUCAUUUUUUCCCCAGAUAAGGCCAUCUCUGAACCAACUGGCUACCUUUCAUGUUUGGAUAUCUUUGAUUCGCAUCUGAGACUGAUUUCAGUUCCCUUAAUUUGCCAUUUCAAGCAGUGGCAGCACUCCUUUUUAGACGCUUCUUAAAAGCACAUUUCAUGCUUUCAGCUUCCUCACUUCCAGCUAAAUGAAAUUCUUCUGGACAAUAGGGGUUCUAUCAGUAGCUACAUAGAGCAACACUAUAACACAAGAAAAUUGUUUGAGGCUAUCUGCAUAAGAAAAGAGCAAAAGUUGGAUCGCCAAUCUGGGGUUGUCAAGGAGCCACAACCUCAUGCUAAGAUAACAAAAAACUAUGGUCUACACAUUGAUUGCUCAUGUGUUUAUCUUCCAUUGUUCAUCUUACCAUUCAAACUUUGUUCUGAACAAGUAGGAGUGCAAGGAGGUUUGCCUGCACAUGGAAAUGAGACUCCAUCAUAGUGCUCGUCUCAGACAUGGAGGGCUCCUUGAAGUGUCUUGCAGACUGCACGAAUGGAUAGCUUUAGUGUGUUGUAUUAGUUUGUUGUCUAGAUUGUUGAUUGUAGGUCGUACGCUAUAUAAUAACUAGUAGAAUUUUGUUGUCUAUGUAGUUGCUCGUAGGUUAUUUACUGUACUUAGAAUAACCUUUCAUCUUGGUGUGAUGCCGCUGGAAGUUUGAAUCAAGUUGGUAUAAAGAUAUCUGUAAUGUUGAUCUUGUAAUGCUGAUCUAUUCUCAUAGAAAUAUAUGCGCUGCAUGUUCUCAAAA